AAUAAUAUUUAUUAUUUAACAAUCAUAUACAAUUAUAACAAUGAGCUCAACCGUCAACAGACUGAUGAUUGACUUUGGAACAUAAUUUCCAACACUAGUACCAAUCAAAAUAGAAAUUUUUUUUAAUUUAAAGCUUGAAUUUACAAAAGUAAAUGAAAAACCUUCUAAAUCAAGUUUUGCUAAAGAAAUUAAAUUUUUAAAUGCUGAAGGAAUAUAAAGACAUUAUGUAGAUCUAAUUGGAAUCCGGUGUCUGUAAUAAGUCUAUAGGUUCCAACUAAAAUGACCUUGGACUUCAUCUAGUUUCUCAUAAAGAUCCACUGCUCUCUAUUAUUUGGCUUCCAACUUGAAAGAAAUCUCUACAAUGAAUAAGAAACAUGAAUUGUAGCAUUCGAAUCAAUCCACCAAGUAUUAGAAGGAACAUCAACGAAAUUGGUUUCAAAACAAAUAAGUGAUAAGAGAAUACUUUUUUUUUUGAACCAUUUCCUUCUUUUCUCAUAAUUUUUCUUGAUAUAUCCUUCCUUGUUACAGAAGAAACAUUUCAAUUUAUGAAAAUUUUUUUUGGUGGAUUGUUGGCUCUUUUAUUUUUUUUCUUCACUUUCUUUCUUUUAGGAUGCUCCUGUGAAACCAUAUGAACAACUAGGAUCUCUUUCUGUUUCAAUCUCUCUUCUUUUUGCACACACUGAGAGUGAGUUCAUUCAUUGCCCAUGAUUCCUGAUGUGUGUUGGGGUAAAUCUUAAAUUAGAUAAACUGAGAUAGAAGAUAAUUGAGAACAAAUAGGAUAAAAAAAUCUUCAGAUACCAUCAUACCAAAAUCAUUCAAUUUUUCAGCUAUAUUAUGUAUUUUCAUAAUGUGCUUUUACACUCCUUAAAAUUCAUCAUAUUUCAUAGAGAUUAACUUAUUCAUUAGGAUACCAGUUAAGACUUUAUUUGAUUUGAUAAACUGUUAUUCUACAUAGAAAAGAUAGUCAAAGGCCAAUUUGUUAUCAGGAACAGCUCUCCUAAUAUCUUUUACUAUAGAAUUCUUAAUAAUCAUGAGAGAUAAUCUAUUAGAACACUCCUAUUUUUCACAUAAUUUCUUAUGAUUAGGAGAACUAGUAGGGAUAAAUUGAUCUGACUGAGACUUACGAAGGGUCAAAUCUAAGUCUAGGCAUCCUAAAAUAAUGAGAAGUUGCUCAUGCCAAUCAGGAUAAUUCGAUCCAUUUAGUGUGGGAAUGUUAGAUAGAUGCGACAAGAGUGAAGCAGGGAUAACAACUGUAAGUAAAAGAACAUGCUCACAAUUAUGAUCAUGAUGCAAAUUCCAUAACAUAAUUCUGCUAAUAAUACUUAUUAUACAAUUAUAAAAUAUCUUUGGGUAAGAAUCAUAGCAUACAAUAAGUAUCACAACUAAUUUAAUUAUAAAUUAAACAUUAUAAAUAAUGCCAAAAUAUGCAUCACAUAAAUCAUAACCAACAAUAAUAUAAAAUAUAUAAGCAAGAGCAAUAAUUAUGGUAUGUAUACAUAAUUCAUGUUUAAACUGUGAUCUAUCAUAUUAGUUAUAUUUUCAGUGAUUAACUAAUAUGAUUAUAAAAAUUUGAGAUUAUUCUCACAUUUGGAUGUAGAACUCUCCAUCUUUAUGCAAUUCAAGUUAGUCAACUUUUUACUAUUAAUUUUGUAUCAAACUACAGUCACCUUUGGAUCAACUGUAACAAAUACACCUUUAUGCAAUUUCAAAGCUAUAAUGACAGAAAAAGUCAUUACUCCUCGAUGACUCAGCUACCUAACAUCCAUAGAGUGCUCCAGACCUUUUGGGGCUACGUGAAAAUACACUUGAAUAUUGUAAUAGUGAGCAAAAUUAUCAAAUAAAUAAUAUAUAAAUUAUUCAAAUAUUUUAUCAUGUAUGAGAAUUGAACCAAAAUAUUUCUCAAGUCAUUAGAGUCCAAUGGUUUAAAAAUCGUUCAAAUCGGAUGUAAAACGAAAAAGAUACCGCGAUUUUACCAAAAAGCUUAAUAAUAGAGGAUUA
rnacentral:lncRNA from 1 species